CGACGAGUCGAGUAGUUUGGGAAUGCUGCUCAAAAUGGGAGGUAAACCCCUUCUAAAGCUAAAUACUGGCCAGAGACCGAUAGCGCACAAGUAGAGUGAUCGAAAGAUGAAAAGCACUUUGAAAAGAGAGUUAAAAAGCACGUGAAAUUGUUGAAAGGGAAGCGUUUGCGACCAGACUUGCGCCCGUCGGAUCAGCCGUCCCUCGUGGGCGGUGCACUCUGGCGGGCUCAGGCCAGCAUCAGUUCGCUGCAGGGGGAGAAAGGCGGCGGGAAUGUGGCUCUUCGGAGUGUUAUAGCCCGCCGCGUAAUACCCCUCGGCGGACUGAGGACCGCGCGUAAGCAAGGAUGCUGGCGUAAUGGUCGUCAGCGACCCGUCUUGAAACACGGACCAAGGAGUCGUCCUAAUAUGCGAGUGUUUGGGUGUCAAACCCCAGCGCGUAAUGAAAGUGAACGCAGGUGAGAGCUUCGGCGCAUCAUCGACCGAUCCUGAUGUUCUCGGAUGGAUUUGAGUACGAGCAUAUUGGGCCGGACCCGAAAGAAGGUGAACUAUGCCUGUAUAGGGUGAAGCCAGAGGAAACUCUGGUGGAGGCUCGCAGCGGUUCUGACGUGCAAAUCGAUCGUCAAAUAUGGGCAUGGGGGCGAAAGACUAAUCGAACCUUCUAGUAGCUGGUUUCCGCCGAAGUUUCCCUCAGGAUAGCAGUGUUGAAUUCUCAGUUUUAUGAGGUAAAGCGAAUGAUUAGGGACUCGGGGGCGCUAUUUAGCCUUCAUCCAUUCUCAAACUUUAAAUAUGUAAGAAGCCCUUGUUACUUCAUUGAACGUGGGCAUUCGAAUGUAUCAACACUAGUGGGCCAUUUUUGGUAAGCAGAACUGGCGAUGCGGGAUGAACCGAUCGCGGGGAUAAGGUGCCGGAGUGGACGCUCAUCAGACACCACAAAAGGUGUUAUCACAUCUUGACAGCAGGACGGUGGCCAUGGAAGUCGGAAUCCGCUAAGGACUGUGUAACAACUCACCUGCCGAAUGUGAUAGCCCUGAAAAUGGAUGGCGCUCAAGCGUCCCACCCAUACCCCGCCCUCAGGGUAGACACUAUGCCCUGAGGAGUAGGCGGACGUGGAGGUCAGUGACGAAGCCUAGGGCGUGAGCCCGGGUUGAACGGCCUCUAG
rnacentral:rRNA from 1 species